GGUUAAGUUAGAAAGGGCGCACGGUGGAUGCCUUGGCACUAGGAGCCGAAGAAGGACGGGACUAACACCGAUAUGCUUUGGGGAGCUGUACGUAAGCGUUGAUCCAGAGAUUUCCGAAUGGGGGAACCCACUAUCUUUAGUCGGAUAGUAUCCUUACGUGAAUACAUAGCGUGAGGAAGGCAGACCCAGGGAACUGAAACAUCUAAGUACCUGGAGGAAGAGAAAGAAAAAUCGAUUUCCUGAGUAGCGGCGAGCGAAACGGAAAGAGCCCAAACCAAGAAGCUUGCUUCUUGGGGUUGUAGGACACUCUAUACGGAGUUACAAAAGAAAGUUAUAAAUGAAGCGGUCUGGAAAGGCCCGCCAAAGACGGUAACAGCCCGGUAGUUGAAAUGGCUUUCCCUCCAGAGUGGAUCCUGAGUACGGCGGAACACGUGAAAUUCCGUCGGAAUCCGGGAGGACC
rnacentral:rRNA from 1 species